UGUGAUGCUGAGUUCUGCCACCAAGCCCUUUUGUACAAAAGCCUCUAUUCACUUCUUCCUGCUUAUGCUGGUUCAACCCCUUUCCUCCAGAUGACGCCAAGUCUUACACUGAUAGCUUCUUUCUUACACCUUCUUUAGAAGAGUUCGGCAUGGUGAAACAAAGAAUGGACUUCGAAAGCCAAGGCAGACCUGGUUUGAAUUCUAAUCCAGCUAUAAGACCUAGGGUAAGAAAGUCAAAGUGCAGUAUGAACAGUCUCCAGUGACAAGAAAACUGCUACAAUCCCGAAUUCCAAUUCAAUGCAAUGUCUUCACAGAAGUUCAAGGGAAAGAUUCCUGCUGCACAAUCAUCUCAAGAAGCACAACGACCUGCACAAAGGCAGACCUUUGCUAUCGAAAUUCACAUUCUGCAUCAGCAAAAUUAUUUCAAUAAUAAACAUAUAAAUAACCUAACAUUAA